AGUAAGUAAAAGAUGUAACUGGAAAUAUAAUGCAAUGUGGAUUGUAUUACAUCAUGUAUUAACCACAAAUCAUGAAAUCAAUACCAGAGAACCAAAUAAUGUCACCACCUCUGUACUAACAACCAACAUUUUAGCAUAAGGAGUAUCACAGGAGUGUUUAAUUGCACAUCAAGAGUAUCACAAUUACAACUAAAGAGGCAUUGUCCUCACUGCUGUCCCUGAGCCCUUCACAGAGUUUCAAGCCUCGCAACUUCUUCCUCCAGCUCUGCACAUGACCCUCGGUUACGAACCUCAUCCCUCAACUAUGAUUAUUUCAAGAUGAAAUCAACAUGCUAUUUCUCUCACAUGGAACAUGUUUAGAAUUUAGUCAGUCUCGCUAAUCUUUCAGCUACAAAGGCAGAAAGAAAAAUGGCAUAAUCAAUAACUAAAAAAAAAACUGGAACAAUAAUGCUUGUAACAAUAAUGGCUAUAUUUUUAUCAUCAAAUUUCAACAAUAGAUAUCUCUCCUCCUAUAUCCCUCAAAGAGCAAAAAUAACAAAAUGAACUUUGAUGUACACAAACACAUUCAAAUAAGCAAAUCAGAGCAAGGCAAUAUGCAUCAUACCUUCAGGAUGCCAAGCGGUCGAUUAGUAAUGCUAAAAUGAACCCAUCAGCAUACCUCCCACCUAAUUUUAUUGGCCCUAUCUCUUCUUUCUCAAGUCUGCACUCGUUCAACCAGUAAUCCAAUUAGUUAUACAUGCACACAAUAAUCAAUAGUUUCCCUUCUCCCUAUUUCUAAUUUGGAAAAAUCACUAUAUUUUUCCCCUAUUUGUAGUUUACACUGAAAUCUGAAACCAGUGUGUGGAAGUAUGUUUAAACACCCAGCCAAAAAUCUGAGAAAAGCAAAAUAAGAAUUUGAAUGCCCAAGGAAAAUUAAACUUGCUCUCUCUCCCUAUUCUCAGCCAUACAUGCACCAGACAACAUAUAUAUAUAUAUAUAUAUAUAUAUAUAUAUAUAUAUAUAUAUAUAUAUAUAUAUAUAUAUAUAUAUAUAUAGAGAGAGAGAGAGAGAGAGAGAGAGAGAGAGAGAGCGAGAGAGAGAGAGAGCGAGAGACGAUCAAAUAAUUUUAUAGGUCCUCCUUGACUUGGCCGCUUCAAGCUGUGCUAGAAUCCAUGGGAUGGCAGAACACCUUUUUUAGUACAAGCACACUGCAAGCCACCAUCCACCCUUGCUUAUUAAUGAAAUAAAAUAAAGUAUUCCAAGAACAUGGAACAGUUAUAAAAAGUACCGAUAUCAUGUAUGCAUCGUUCUGAUGCAGAGGCCGGGGAUCUCCCCCUUUUCGAAAAAAAAGUAUAUAAUACAAAAAUAAAUAUUCUUUGGAAGGAUAUAGUCAUAGAUAUAUCAAAUAGACAUAGUAUACGUUCCAAUGAUAAUGUCAUACCUGUAGAAGAGACAUAUCCUCAAGAAACGGUGCUCCAAAUGAAUAUUGCCAUAUUUGUCCAUAGUAAAUAAUCCAUUACAGCAGAAAUCAGAAGCCAACAUCAGUGUGGUUCGCAAUAAGAGGAGGCCAUUCUGUUCAUGCCUAGCAGUAGCACAACAGCGACAUGAAGACAACCUACUUUACAUGGCAAAAGAUCCAAGUAAGAAGAAAAUCUAAUGUCAUAUAUGGAUACACUUGAGUUGUUAUAAAUACUUAGGAAUUCAGGAUGGCAAAUUUAAGCAAGAAAAACACACUGGAGCUGUUAUAUUUACUUAGGAAUUCAGAUUAUUGCGUUUCCUAUAGAGGCCCUAUAACCUGAAUAAACGUAGCUGCACAUAAGAUCAAGUAAAAAAAAGCGUUAGUAAAUUCAUGAAAGGAAGAUGUGAACAUAAAAGUCAUGACAGAACUGUCUAGAUUUUGUAUCAGCCAGUCAUAUAUACAGGACCAAGAAGACUGCACCCAAAGUUUGAUAUUUCAAUCAGCUUAAUUAAUAAUUAUUUGGCACGCAUCUUUGACACAGCACUGCCUUUAACUGUGUUCUGCGCCACAGAAAACACAAACUAAAAUUGAUAAAGUUGAGAAAAAUAAGGGUACAUAUAUUGCAUUAGUAAACAAAUAACAAUAGAAUGUACUUUUAUGUAGAAUUAAAAGUGUGGAGAGAAAAUAAAUAAACCCGAGGGAAAACUAUCUAUUAGUCCUCAUAAAUCAAAACACAACAUCUUCAUGCUUUCUCAGUCAACAGUCUACUCAAAUGUAAUUAAUAUAUAGCAGAUCAAUGACAAAAACACGUGC
rnacentral:lncRNA from 1 species